GUGAGGCGGCGGUCGGGACGCG
rnacentral:miRNA from 1 species